rnacentral:rRNA from 1 species
GAUGAACGCUGGCGGCGUGCCUAAUACAUGCAAGUCGAGCGAACAGACGAGGAGCUUGCUCCUCUGACGUUAGCGGCGGACGGGUGAGUAACACGUGGAUAACCUACCUAUAAGACUGGGAUAACUUCGGGAAACCGGAGCUAAUACCGGAUAAUAUAUUGAACCGCAUGGUUCAAUAGUGAAAGACGGUUUUGCUGUCACUUAUAGAUGGAUCCGCGCCGCAUUAGCUAGUUGGUAAGGUAACGGCUUACCAAGGCAACGAUGCGUAGCCGACCUGAGAGGGUGAUCGGCCACACUGGAACUGAGACACGGUCCAGACUCCUGCGGGAGGCAGCAGUAGGGUAUCUUCCGCAAUGGGCGAAAGCCUGACGGAGCAACGCCGCGUGAGUGAUGAAGGUCUUCGGAUCGUAAAACUCUGUUAUUAGGGAAGAACAAAUGUGUAAGUAACUAUGCACGUCUUGACGGUACCUAAUCAGAAAGCCACGGCUAACUACGUG